GACGAACGCUGGCGGCAGGCCUAACACAUGCAAGUCGAGCGGAUGAGUGGAGCUUGCUCCAUGAUUCAGCGGCGGACGGGUGAGUAAUGCCUAGGAAUCUGCCUGGUAGUGGGGGACAACGUUUCGAAAGGAACGCUAAUACCGCAUACGUCCUACGGGAGAAAGUGGGGGAUCUUCGGACCUCACGCUAUCAGAUGAGCCUAGGUCGGAGUAGCUAGUUGGUGAGGUAAAGGCUCACCAAGGCGACGAUCCGUAACUGGUCUGAGAGGAUGAUCAGUCACACUGGAACUGAGACACGGUCCAGACUCCUACGGGAGGCAGCAGUGGGGAAUAUUGGACAAUGGGCGAAAGCCUGAUCCAGCCAUGCCGCGUGUGUGAAGAAGGUCUUCGGAUUGUAAAGCACUUUAAGUUGGGAGGAAGGGCAGUAAGUUAAUACCUUGCUGUUUUGACGUUACCAACAGAAUAAGCACCGGCUAACUUCGUGCCAGCAGCCGCCGUAACAC
rnacentral:rRNA from 1 species